AUAAUAAUACAUGACUCUUUCCAGACCCUGUAAUUGGAAUGAGUACACUUUAAAUCCUUUAACGAGGAUCUAUUGGAGGACAAGUCUGGUGCAGAGCGACUGACCUGCUGAAACUCCACUAUCGCCUGCUGCUA